rnacentral:lncRNA from 10 species
CAGAGGCCUCCCUGGGCUGUCAAUACUCUGGUUCCUGCGGGUUGUGGCUCCAGUCUGACUCAUCCCCUGGCUCCCACUCAGAUCUUUGCUGCGAGCUCAUCUCAAGGGCUGGUGAUCACAGGCAGGAACGAUGGAGCUGGAGAAGAGAAGAAGAGAAGAGAAGAGAAGAGAAGAGAAGAGAAAAGAAGGAGAGAUUCCAAGUAUGAGAAAGACUAGACUUUGGAGGUAGAGAAAGGAGUUCACGAGCCAAGGACAUAGGUGGCCUCUAGAAGCCAACAGCCAGCAAGAAAAUAGGGAUCAGAGACACAGCCCUGCUGACACGUGUGUCUGACUUACAGAACUAUAAAAGAACAAAUAUGUGUUGCUUAAGCCACUAAGUAUGAUCAUUUGUUAUGGUAGAAAUAAAGAACAACUAAUAGGCUAAAAUUAGUUGCUAAAGGAGAAAUAGGGAAAACAGGCAAGGGUAACAACAUGAGCAAAGGCUUGGAGGUAGGAGGGAAGUGCAUGUUUAAAGAAUGGAGAGGAAACUCCUCCUCCACACGGAGGUCUCAUGAGGAAGCAGAGUGGGAGGGAACUUGGGGAGGGCAGGUCUGGGGCUCUGUGUGGUGCCAGGGGAGCUGGUGGCAAGUGGCAAGGACAGAAACAAGACAGUAGGUGAAUGAGACUGGGACCCGCAAAUGCAGAUGCCUACAGGGCAGGUCAUCUGAAAUGAGUAGAACGAGGGAGGCAGAGGAACACAGCCUGAGAACUGGGACAAAUGACAAUUAACUGGAAGGUUGGGGGAUCACUAGGGAGUGGUGGAGACUACAGCUAGCUGGGGAUCUCAGGCCUGAGCUUUCUCUCUUCCUGGUUUCUGGAUUCCAGGCUGAUUCUCCCUUUGGACUGGACAGGCUGAGCUGGACAAAGAAGGAGAAUCUAUGAAAUGCUAUCUUGUCCUGGUAGCCUUCAUCAAAGCUGAUUUCAGAGAGAAGAUGCAGAAACACAAGUUUUGAGGCUGCAAUGUACCAGGUGCUAUGCCAAAAGCCUUGAAGACAUCACUGCAUUUCACUGUCUGCAGAGCCCUACUAGGGAGGCCCUCUUAUCAUCUACUCUUUGCAGUUAGGGAAGUGGAAGCUCAGAAAUAUUAAGACACUUGCUCAAGGGGGCAAAGCUGGGAUUUGAAUCAAGAUGGAUCUGUCUUCAAAUCUGAAUGUCUGAGCUCUGAUAUUCUGCCUGCCCCUCCAAAGAGAAGCAUCUCAGAGCUCCCUGUCCCCUUUCUCCCCAUGGCCCAGUGCUGCUUGUAUAGGUUGGGUGAUGGUGGGGAACAGAGAGAGGAAUGAGUUUCUUUAUGCCUUCAACUCGGACAAGCCCCACCAACUCCAAGGCUCCCUCAGGAUGAACCAAGAAGCAGGUGUUAGCCGAGUGUAGGGUCCAGGGUCAGUGAGCACCCCAUUCAGUGGGGAACCCCGAGGGGUGCCUGCUGCCACCUACCUCCUCCUAGCCCUAAAUAAGGUCACUUUGCUAAUGUGUCUUCCCAGGGGGGUCAGAAGUGAAAGCUCCCAUGGGUCUCUGAGCUUCCAAACAGCGACUUGGGCUGUGUGAUCCUCUAGCCGGGUGCCUGGGUCUCUCUAACUAAGAGCAGGCUCCUUGGGGAGCAUGUCCAUUUGGACUUUGCACCCCCAGCUCGCGGCAGUGUUCUAGGCCCAGAGAAAGCUCCCAGUGAAUGUUCUUGGAAUAAAUGAGUGAAUCCCUG